CACUCACGUGCCAAAGCAAAAAGCCAUAUUCUGAAAUCUCUCGUCAGGAGACUGGAACCGGGCCACACCGCGCCCGAGUCGCGCAAACUCCGCAGCGGUGGCGGGCCAUUCCGGCGGCCGGAGUAGCGAGGCUCUAGUCUAGACCGUUGAUGCCUCUUCGGCGGCUUGUUCCGCACCCAGCCUGCGGUGGUGGACUGGCGGUUCCGUCCUCGUCCUGCUUGGCAUAUGGCAAAUGGCAUGGGCUGCGGCUGCGGCGGCUGGCGCGAGCAGUGGGAGCUACGGCUGCAGCCUGCAGAGAAGGAAAGUGUUUCCCGGACCGUCAUUUCGCCUACGUGAAUAUCAUGCUGCCCAAUGUAUGCUGAUGUCCUCUGAGGGACAAAUUCAUCCAUGUCAUGACCAUUGAUCUCGAAGUUCAUAAUCAAGAAAGUAUUCUAAGAUGUGGUACCUUCAGAGUUGAGUCAAGUUUCCCUGACAAAGCCAGAAGUAGACUUGUUUUCCCGGAUCCAGGGGGACCAAGCAGCAGAGACAUUCUGAACAGAUAGGCAAUAGAAGCAUGAAGGUGCCGCUGCAGAUGAGAUGCAUACCAUGAUUUUGUUGGAGAAGAAGUUGGUCAUCGUCGGGAUACCCCGGUUGCCGACGUAGGCCUCUGCAUCGAUGUUCAGAUCAUUUCUCAAGUGCUUCUGAGUUGCUUUCAGAGGUGAUCAAGGAUUGGAGAUGAAGAAGUGGAUUUGCUCACCGCUCCAUACGGUCACGGAGCUUGAGCAGGAAGCGCUCGUUGUCCUCCUCGGCGGUGCGUACAAGGCGCUCAAUGAGGUUCUUGCGCUCCUCCAUGCCGAGCCCCUGGAUGUCCACCUCCUCGAAGCCUGCGCCGGCGCCCGUGAGGAUGCCCUUGCGCAUGCGGUCGUAGGUGGGCAGCUUCUCGAUGGCCGCCCAUCGCAGCGCCUCCUCGUCGUCCUCCUCCCGCACGGACCGGCCGAAAGCGUCGCUCCGCCCUGACGCCCGCCACGACGACGCCGUCCGCCGCAUGCUCCCGCUGGCGAUGCUCCCCAUCCGCACUAAAUCCAUCCUCGACUGAUGUCAAACCCGCCCUCCGUUCUUUGUCUUUCCCGACAAUCACUUCUCCAGUUCUCCCUGCUUGAGCUUGACUCUGUUCUUGUCUUUCUGCAGCAGCUGUAGGCUUGUGUGUUGAUCUCCGUGAAGAAGACGAGGAAGAGGAAGAGGAAGAGGAAGGGAGAGACAAGAGAGGUGUGAAUGUCUGAGGAACGAGGAGGUGGCGAUUGAGGUAUAAAUACCUGCGCGCGCUAAUGCUCGUCGGGGAAGAUGAUUAGCGCGUGCGAACUGCUCUCAGGUGGCGGGCGCGUCGUUGACUUUGACUCGCGGGAAAUUCGGCCGUUGUACUAGUUUUAUUGCUUUCCAAAAAUUGCGACUCUUGCCUAGCGUAAAUAGUUUGACCGUUUGAAUUGAA